rnacentral:misc_RNA from 1 species
AACGCACAUUGCACCCUCUGGUAUUCCGGAGGGUAUGCCUGUUUGAGUGUCAUUAACAUGUCAACACAGACAAGUUUUCCAUGACUUGCUCUGUUGCUUGGACAUUGAAGGCCUGCUGGCAUUUCGCUAUUGUCAGCUCCUUUUAAAUUCAUUAGCAGGAAUUAUGCAAAACUGGCUUCAGUUUGAUAAGAUUGAACUGCUGCCAAAGAUGCAAUUGUUUUUCCGGCUUCUAACUGUCCUGUCAACUGGACUGUCUCAUCCCUGAGGCAAAUCAUCAAUGACAACUUGGCCUCAAAUCAGGUAGGAUUACCCGCUGAACUUAA